rnacentral:tRNA from 1 species
GCCUUCGUGGUGUAAUGGUCAGCACACUGAGCCGGUAUUUCAGACGUCGUGGUUCGAUCCCCGGCGAAGGCA